rnacentral:misc_RNA from 1 species
AGAAUAUUGAACCACGCGCUUCACUUUCUUCAAUUCAUCUCUAUUUGCACCACGGAGUAAUAUGGUGCAUCCCAGUGGCUUUGGACAGCCUUCAAAGUACAUCAGUGUUUUCACAAGCUUCUUUCCAAUCUCUCCAGCUGUAUCAUGUUCUUCCAAAAACUUCUGAACAUGAAACAUGUCACAGUAUCCCAUCUUUUGAGAUGAGAGAUGAUCUACUGAAUGAACUAUUUGACCACCAGUGCAGCGAGCUAUACGCUCCAAGACUGGUUUUUUGAUGUUUAAGACAAGUGAUAUAUCUUUUUCCAAGAGGUACUCCUGUGCAUAGCGAGAAACAGAUUUUUCCACCAGAAGAACAUCCGGAUUGUGUGCAUCAAUUCUGGCAACAGCCAUCUUCAGAUGAUCCAUUUCCUGCUGCAACAAUGUAGCGAAACUUGAUAAGUGGUUAGAGACGCGCUGGUACUCGAGAGCACCUUCAAGGAUUACUAUGCGGGCUUUCUCAACUUUUGAUGUCAUUCGCCGAUGAGCUACAUUUUUCUUGCAGACAACUCCUUUCACCACAGCACUGUCACUACGAUGUCCAGAUGCAAUACACUUCACCUUUACAUAUCCCCCAGGGUCCAUUCCCCCACCUUUGCUAGUGUCUGGUUUCAAAAGUGUUGCAGCUUCCCACGAUAGGGAUGUAACUAUCUCCAACCAACUCUCUUUGUCUUCUUCCUCACCAAUGACAAGUUUUUCAACCUGCAUAAGCUGAGACACUAAAGCCCUGAAGUGGCCAUCAACAACAUUCUUGACUACGUUCUUUUGCUCUUCAUUUGACCUGUCCCUACCUCUAUACUCACCACUUCCAAAACUGCUUGACGCAUGUAAAUAUCCCCAUUCUCCUGCAGCAUCUCCAUCAUCAUCAUCAUCAU